AUCCCGGUAGUGCAAUGCCUAGUGCGCUCCCAGAUCCGUGAGGCCCGAGAAAAAAAAACUGCACAGGGAGAGGUCCAGGUUCGAUUCCUGGCCGGGAUA